rnacentral:lncRNA from 1 species
AAUUACCAAUUCAGGGGCAGCAACCUAACAACGGGUUGUCUGAUUCAUCUGAAAAUUUCAGGGCAGUUAGAUCUUGACCUGAUAAACAAUUUUACCCCCAUGUCAGAUUUGCUCUAAAUGCUUUGGUUUUUGAGUUAUAAGCAAAAACUGCAUUUUACCCCCAUGUUCUAUUUUUAGCCAUGCGGCCAUCUUGGUUGGUUGGCGGGGUCACCCGAACACAAUUUUUAAACUAGAUACCCCAAUGAUGAUUGUAACCAAGUUUGGUUGAAAUUAGCCCAGUAGUUUCAGAGGAGAAGAUUUUUGUAAAAGUUAACGACGGACGACGACGACGGACGACGGACGACGGACGACGGACGACGGACGACGGACGACGGACGCCGGACGCCAAGUGAUGAGAAAAGCUCACUUGGCCCUUCGGGCCAGGUGAGCUAAAUAAAGGAUAUGGUAUCUAA